GAACGCUAGCUACAGGCUUAACACAUGCAAGUCGCGGGGUAACGACGGAGAAAGCUUGCUUUUUCCGGGCGACGACCGGCGCACGGGUGAGUAACGCGUAUCCAACCUGCCCUAUACAAAGGCACAGCCCGGCGAAAGUCGGAUUAAUGCCUUAUGAAGUGAGAAGAAGACAUCUGAUUUUCACUAAAGCUGAGGCGGUAUAGGAUGGGGAUGCGUCCGAUUAGGUAGACGGCGGGGUAGCGGCCCACCGUGCCGACGAUCGGUAGGGGUUCUGAGAGGAAGGUCCCCCACACUGGAACUGAGACACGGUCCAGACUCCUACGGGAGGCAGCAGUGAGGAAUAUUGGUCAAUGGGCGAUAGCCUGAACCAGCCAAGUAGCGUGAGGGAAGACGGCCCUAUGGGUUGUAAACCUCUUUAGUCCGGGAAUAAAGUGGGCGACGUGUCGCCUAUUGCAUGUACCGGAAGAAUAAGGACCGGCUAAUUCCGUGCCAGCAGCCGCGGUAAUACGGAAGGUCCGGGCGUUAUCCGGAUUUAUUGGGUUUAAAGGGAGCGCAGGCGGUCUGAUAAGCGGGCAGUGAAAGACGGUGGCUCAACCAUCGAGGUGCUGUCCGAACUGUCGGACUUGAGUACGUGCGAGGCAGGCGGAAUUCGUGGUGUAGCGGUGAAAUGCUUAGAUAUCACGAAGAACCCCGAUUGCGAAGGCAGCUUGCCAGUGCGCCACUGACGCUAAAGCUCGAAAGUGCGGGUAUCGAACAGGAUUAGAUACCCUGGUAGUCCGCACGGUAAACGAUGGAUGCUCGCUGUUCGU
rnacentral:rRNA from 1 species